GGCUUUUAGCGUCUUCAGUGUGCCAGAGACACGAGUCACGUAUUAAGCUCCUCCGUAAGUCGACUUUUAAAAUGAUUAACUAACCAUAUAAGGCUUUGAAGUGCUCCCUCAUCUCUAACGUGCAUGCAGCUCACACUCUUCUAAGCAGAGAAAAGAAAGAAGAAAAUGCUUCGGGGAAAAAAAUUAUUUAUCUUUGAAGCUGGAAAUACAAAUGGGGCUCAUCGUCGCAUUGUUGAAAGGUUGAAAGAUGUUGGCCAAGCAGAGGUGAACGCUCUAAAUGAAUGUGACUAUCUUCUGGUUUUCUGUCCUGUUGUUUCACGAGUCGGAACGGACAUCGGAGAGGCUCUGGACAACAUGCCCCGUGGUAAACCAGUAAUACUGGUGGUGAUGCAUCCCACCUUCAAUCCAGAUUAUGUUGUAGCUGAAAGCCGGAGACAAGUGACCAACCCAAAUGUCUGCCUCACUGUGGACUGUCUGUUUCGUGAUGGCAAGCUCCUCGACUCUAAACUUAACGAUAAGAUGUGGAAUGAAAUAGAAGAACUUUUGGAAGUUUCCCCUUUCCAGGUUUCGUGGUUCAGAACGAUAAAAUAUUUGAUGAAUCCUCGAGUACUUGGGAUUGCUGCUCUAACUGCUGUAGUGAUCUAUGUGUAUUUCAACAGUCCUGAUAUAAAAAAGAAAAUAGGGCUGUGAGAGGAGUCCCUGGAUAGCAAAAUCAAAAGGAAUCUAUUUAUUAAGGUCAAGGAGUCACAUGGCUAAGUUCAAGGCCAAGUUGGAAAUAAUUACAUAAUCACAUAUUUUAGGUAAUCGAUUCAGCAACAACAACAACAAUAACAAUAACAACAAUAAUAAGGAGAAAGAUUAUUAGGACAUUAUAGGACAUUUUUCUAGCCAUGUCAUUAAUGCAGACAGCAAACUAGAUGCACAUUUUCAUGAAAACAAAUUGUCCUAUAAAACAACACUGUAUAUCUGUGCACUGCUGUGCUGAUAUACAGUGUUAUUUUACUAAAAUCAUUUCACACAUCAGGGGUAUCUUGUUGGUUAUAUUGCAACUUGAUGAAGCUAUAAAUAAAAGCAAAUCAUCUCUAUGAUGUAAUUCUGCUGAUUUGUCCAAAUAAUCUUAUUAAAACUAAAUUUGUGAAUAACAAAUUCAAAUGUUUCAUAUUUCUGUUGCUUGUCUAUGUGAGUAAACUCUUACUUAACAUAACAUCCUUUAACCAGCAAUACCUUGACUGCAUUUUGCCUGUAAUUUAUACAGACAUGUUACAUUUUGUUUAUAUCUGUUAUUGAAUUGUAUUUUUGUUGUAUUACUUUCACAUCAGUAAAUAAUGGGGUGCAACUCCAAGGUGCAACUUUCCUACCUUCUGGAAAUAUUUGUUUAUUUACAGCUGAGUUGAAUUGCACAAACCACUGUAAAUAAAUGUAAAUAAAACAGGAAAAGAGUUGAAAUGUUUUAGCAUUAACUGUCCUAAACAUAAAAAAUGAAGUCCUUCCUUUGAGUCAAAAACAACAGCAGGGUGUGAUAUAGAGCGGGACAACCUUAUGAAUGACAAGUUGAUACCAUAUGAACAUGCACUGUGUUUCUAAUCAAUCAGUGUGGCUACAUGAAUCUCCUAUAUGUAGUAUUUUUUCUUAGGUAAUGUAAAUAUAAACAUAUUUGGAUCUGAUAUUUGUCAGAUCUGGACUCAAAACGUGAAUCUGAUAUCAGUGAAAACAAUGUGAUAUGGCCAAUCUAUUCAAAUUACUAUCAUAUUGUUUACUAGACCAUGCAGAAUCAGCAUCAGUAACCAAGAGAGCUGAGACAACACAGAGGAAAAUGAAGGCUAAGUGAAAGGCAUUUCACUGUAGCUAACCACCAGUAUUUACUUGCAUGUUGGCAAAUGUUUUUAACUUAAGAGCAACUGUGGUCAAGUGAGCUGACACUGCUAUUUCUCUCUCUCGCUCACUCUCACUGUCCGUGCAUGUAGUGACAAUAAAUUCUUUUACUGCACUUACAGUAACAUAACAUGUUGUCCCCAAGUGUGUGAGUUUUAUUUAAUGUCAGCUGUUGCAUGUGUUUGUGUGCAUGUGUGUAUGAUGGUAUGAACAGUAAAAGGACUGAGAAAAGGAAAGAAGAAACUAGCGUGACUAUAAAUCAUAAAGUGAACACCUUUUGUUCAUUUUUUAAUUUAAAUAUUUUUGUCCUGAUGUCACUAAUAAAUAAUUAUUAGGUACAUUUACAUUCAAAACAAAUUAGGGAAGUAAUAUUUAUGGUGAGACUGACAUUGCCUGAAACAUUAAAAAAAACAAAGCUUGAUUAACAGCGUAAUUAACCUUGGUACUGCAUACUCGUUAUCGGUAGAUACCUGAAACCACUAUGCUGGUAUGAGGACAGAGUAAAAGGAAUACAAGUUGACAUCACUUGUCUCUUAGUUAGAAUAAAUAUAAUAAAUUAGAUUUCAGUGACACAUGAAGUUGGUGUUUGAAGACUGACUUCAGUCCAAUCAGAGCCACUUUCAGAUUGUCUUUUUACAACACUGCCACCCAGUGGAUAUAUUUGUCAUAUUUCUUGAGAAGAACAAACAGUAAAAGUUGUUGUGAAAGCAUGGGUAAAUAUUAACUGCGUACACCUACGUGUACACCUACGCUAUAUGGUGCAAUUAACCCCAAAACCCCAAACAAUCAUGUAGUUUGAAGACCCCAACAUACUGCUGGUGCCUUUGUAUUGCACACUAUAGUAACUAAAUUUCCUCCGCUGCUGCUGUGCUCUUAUCUUAUUUCCUUCAGAACACAGUUAUGUCUGCAGUUCCUGUUUCGUGACUGACACGUUGCCUUCAACAAACAGUGGAAGGAAGACUGGACGUGGGGGAGGGUGUUCAUUGGUCUUGAGCGUUUGGUAAGAUAUGGCAGCGACACCAACAGCUUAUCAAAGUACUUUAAACACAAAUGAAGAAAAUGCUUUGGGGAAAAAGUUCUUCGUCUUCGUGGCAGGAACGACAAAUGGGACUCAUCAAUUCAUUGUUGAAAAGAUGAUCAGCUUUGGCCAAACAGAGGUGAAGUUUCUAGAAGAAUGUGACUACAUUCUGGUUUUCUGUCCUGUUGUUUCACGAGUUGGAACAGACAUCGCAGAUGCCCUGAGCACCAUGCCCCGUGGUAAAUCAGCAAUUCUGGUAGUGAUGCAUCAUACCUUCGAUAGUAAUUGUGUCGUGGCUGAAAGCCGGAGACAGGUGGAUGACCCACAUGUCCGCCUCACUGUGGAUUGUUUGUUUCAUGAAGGCAAACUCCUGAAUUCCAACCAGAAUGAGAUCAUGUGGCAUGAGGUGAAGAAAUUUUUGCGGGUUCCUGCUAUUCAGAUGUCUCCCCGUUGGAACUUGAAUCGCCGUUGGCUGAUACCUUUGACAGUGGUUAUAUCAGUUGGUGUAGUUUUGGGUGUGAUAUUACCUGUAUUAAUGAUAGAAAUGCAUAAAGGAAAGUAGCUGUAAAUGCCAGUGAAAGCUGAUGUGGGCGUUUGUAGGGCUGAGUCUCUUGAUCAGUUAGCAAAACUAGAAUAGAAGUGAAAUGAUGUAAACGCUUAUAUUAUAUAUUAUAGAUUAUACUGAUAGAUAUGUGAACAAAUUCACUUUAUUUGAUGAUAAUAUGAAAUUAUGUGAUUUUAUAUGAAGUUUGUAGUUUGAGAGUGCGUGUGUGUGUGUGUUGGGGUAAAAUGUAAUCACUUUUGUUAAUAAUAAUAAUAAUAAUAAUGAUAUAUUUAUUAUGUUAAUAAUUAUUCUGCUUUAUUUGAUUAUAAUGUUGAGAUUAUAUAAUUUGUCAAGUACAAAUUAAAUCAGGUGUAUAUGUGUGUGUUUUCUGUAUUCAUUUAUUUAUCUCUUUGUUUCAAUAGUUUAUUUAUUAAUUUUAUAAAAAAUAAAGCGAGAAAACUCAUAUGCAGUAUACACCUUUAGCAGUGAUACUUUUACUACAUUUUCCCAAAAAUUUACUCAUAGAUGUGACCUUUAGUUUACAUCGCCUGCUUUGGUUUAGUUUUUUCUUGAAUUACUUUCCAAAAAAAUGAAACAUAUAAAAUUAGAUGAAACCUUUCUUUUUGCUGGAAAUACUUGGUUAUUUACAGUGUUCUGAUCAGUAUAAAACACUGGUAAUUAAACAGAAAUAUAUAUAUUUUUUAGCAUUUAUUGAGACAGUUUAUGUUCACAUGUUCUGUUGUAUCUUUCAAAGUUCUGUUAUUUUAAGAAGAAAACAAUGCAUUGCUGGACUGUGAAAACUCUUUUUGGUUUGUCAUUAUACUUUUUUCUUGCAGGCUGUCACAAAUAUUAACAAGUUGUGGAUUUUCCUCUAUAGGUAUUUUACAGAAGAUGAAUAGUUAUUCAAUCAGCUAACAAUUAUAAUCACAUCUUGGCAGCCCUGUCUGCUUUGAAAAAAGCAAAAAAAAAAAAUCUUCUGACAUCAACGCUUUAGUACAUGAUCAUUAAGGUCUCUUUCAUGAAUGGUUUAUAGUUGCAAUAGCAAUAUCAAAUUUUGAGGUGAUUAGAGAUAAUACAAACAAAUGAAUACCACAAACCAUUUGAACAACAUUAGAUUAAUUGGUAGAAAAUGACCAAUAAAAGGAUCAGAGUUAUAGCACCCAGACUCAAUUUAGGUAUUGCUGAAUUAGCUUUGGAGAUGACCACAUCAAUUGCAUUGGAGGGGAAAACUGUCUUCACUGUGUUUCUGUGUCACUUCAUUUUUGAUGACAAAGUUGAGCUACUGCUUGAAUGUGCUCAACAUGAGGGCAUAAGAAAGCAGUGAGAAGUGUUAAAAGAUGUACAUGACUUCCAGGUGUACAGUCCCUGCCUUAGGAUGAUAAAGCAGAGUAUGCUUUAUGAUGGGCCUGUGCUAUGAUUGACAAGUCAAUGCCAUAUGAGAAUACAGUGUGUUUUACAGUCAGAUUCAGCCCUUGCUUCUCAUGUGACUUUUCAAAGCACCCGGUUGGAACUGAGUGUGGCAUCAGUGUGGCUACAUGCAACUUUCAUACAAAGUGUAUGUUCAGCUCUUUCUUUUCUAUUAAAUACAGUAAUCUUUAGAAAGUACAGAGGCACCAAUCCAAUUUUGUGAACAUACUGUAUAUUUCAAAUGCACAAUUGACAUUGUUUUAUGCUGUAACAAACACUUUUGUGGUUUGUUCCUCUCAUGAAAUAGUGUGUCCACUAGGUGGAGAUGCUGUAAAAAGAUGUCAUGUGAAAGGGGAAAUGAACUGGAAUAACGCCUGUCUUCAGAUAGCAGCAUCAUGUGACACUAAAAGUACCUGUUUUCUGACUGACCCUUUGCAAAUCAAAAGUGAAAGUACUGGAAUAGACAAGCAUUCAUUGUUUUUCAGUGUGGUGAAGAAUAUGUCAGACACAAGAGAUUACCAAAGGUUAUUAGACCAGGAAGAAGUAGAGCAAGUUUCAUGGGAAACAUUCCAUGUCUGGUUGACGGGAAGAACAAAUGAGGCUCAUUAUCCCAUUAUUGAAAUGCUCAAAAGAAUUGGUCAAACUCAGGUGAAUUCUCCAGAAGAAUGUGACUAUCUUCUGGUUUUCUGUCCUAUUGUUUCACGAGUUGGAACAGACAUCGAAGAGGCCCUGAACAACCUGCCUUGUAGUAAACCAGUGAUUCUGGUGGUGAUGCAUCAUACUUUCAAUCCUCAUUCUGUUGUAUCUGAAAGUAAGAGACAGGUGAACAACCCAAACGUUCAUCUCACUGUGGACUGUCUGUUUUAUGAGGACAAACUCCUGAACUGCAAACUCAAUGAUAACAUAGAAAAAACACUCCUCAAGCUUUUUAAACUUUCAGUUUAUCAGAUGAUUUUGUGGUAUCUGAGGAGUCUUUGGACAUGCUGUUGUAUUACAAUAAAAUGAUCCAUCAGGAAGUCACUGUGCAACUAAAUUAAACGUAACCUUUCUUGAUUGUGCUGUUAUUACCUUUAAUACUUUAUAGUUAUGAAGGCUGGUAUAGAUUUUAGUUUUGGGGUAGAAUUACUGAUCUAUACUGUUUGUUAUGUAUCUAUCACUGUUUUAUAUCUGGGUCACAAUAGAGGUGUAAUGUUGUAAACAUACCAGAUCUGCAGAUAAUCUUUACGCACUGUGUGAAGAUGAAUUUAUAUAUAUGUAUAAGAAAAAAAUGAAUAAAAAAAAGAGCUUAAAGAUAGAAAAUGAGUUCUUAAUGAUUUACUCCUUAUUACUCCGUAAUACUGCAGACAUGUUAAAAGGCUAAAAGUUCAUUAAAAAGAUGUUUUGGUUGCUUUGGUUGGUUUGGAUGCUUUAUAAACAUGCAUCUUUCACCGGGCUGCAUGGCGCUAACGCUUUAACGAGCUAACCGCACUAACGCGUUGACAUUGUGCAGCCCCAUGCACGGGGUGAUCCUCGCUAACUCGCUAACGGAGAAUUGCCACGUUAUGCAAUUAUGGCGUUAACAUCAUUUUAACGGGAUUAACGCUGACAGCACUAAUGAAAACAGAUCCGUUCAUCGACAGUGUGCCGGUAAUCCGGUGCGCAUUAUGGUCCGAAAAAUACGGUAUACAUGUAUGAUGUUUUAAGAAAGAUCUGCUGAACAGUCUGUUGAUUAAUCAAUAAUAUUAUAGUACACCUUCUUACAAAAUAAUGUGUCUUUUAAUAUUUGAGCAACCUACCAGUGUGCUCAUGAGACAUGUUCUGAGACAUGUCCAGUAAGACAUGUUCUGACAAUUCAGCUGAAUGUUCAUGGAGGGUGUCACAUCAAGCCCAGCACUAGCCAAGGUCUAAUAAGUAUCAGAACCACUAUCUGGCAUGAAACAACGAAGAUCCAUUAGCACCAUAUGUUAUCGCACUAGGAGCAUACCCUGAUAUUGCCUGGCAUGCAUACAAACUGGUGAGGAUCAUACAAACUGCUGAUUACCAUUUUGAAUUGCUGGAAUGAAAAAUGUUAAUUUGUCUAACUAGCCACGUAGCUUAGCCACGUAAUUUUCUUUCUCUUUGAUCUUUGGGAUGUUUUUGAAAUCAGCCGUGUGUAGGUAGAUCAUUUUCCCAUUAAAUAAUGUGGGAUCUUUUCAUUCCUCACAUAUUACCCAGUCCAUACAAUUAUAGAUGUCAAGCUUGAUUUUAUUUUAUUGAUAUUUAAUAUGUUUUCAAAUGGUUCCUUUUCCUUUACUGAGCAGAAACAGUUUGUUUC